UACGGGGGGAGCAAGCGUUGUUCGGAUUUACUGGGCGUAAAGGGCGCGUAGGCGGCCACCGCAAGUCAGUUGUGAAAUCUCUGGGCUUAACCCAGAAAGGUCAACUGAUACUGCGGGGCUAGAGUGCAGAAGGGGCAAUCGGAAUUCUUGGUGUAGCGGUGAAAUGCGUAGAUAUCAAGAGGAACACCUGAGGUGAAGACGGGUUGCUGGGCUGACACUGACGCUGAGGCGCGAAAGCCAGGGGAGCAAACGGG
rnacentral:rRNA from 1 species